UCCUGGUUAGCUCAGUUGGUAGAGCGCUCCACCACUGGAAAUGGGGAGGUGCAUGGUUCGGUACCAGGACCAAGCG
rnacentral:tRNA from 1 species